UACGUAGGGGGCAAGCGUUGUCCGGAUUUAUUGGGCGUAAAGAGCGUGUAGGCGGCUAGGUAGGUCCGUUGUGAAAACUCGAGGCUCAACCUCGAGCUGUCGAUGGAAACCAUCUAGCUAGAGUCCGAAAGGGGAGAGUGGAAUUCCUGGUGUAGCGGUGAAAUGCGCAGAUAUCAGGAAGAACACCCGUGGCGAAGGCGGCUCUCUGGUACGUGACUGACGCUGAGACGCGAAAGCGUGGGGAGCGAACAGG
rnacentral:rRNA from 1 species